UGCCUUUGUUUAGUAUAGUUUUACUUUUAGUGUCGUUUUCAUUAUUAGUUUUAGUGGUAAACUUAUUUAAGGAAAAAAGGUUUUAUUCUUAGCAUAGAUAGUAGAUAUGUCUUCAAUUCUCACUACUGGUUCUGUGUCGGAUUGAUUUUAAAACCCGCAGCAGUGAGUCUCAGUGCCCCGGUCUACAGACUUGAGCUCACAGCACUAAAAACAGCUGUGUACAGGUUUCAGAGUCCGAGCUCCAGUCCAAGCCGCAGUGUCUACACUGCUGGUUUUAGUGCUGUAGUGCCAGCCCAGGCUCUUAAUCUUGCUGCUCUGUUUUUUAAAAUGCAGUGUAGACAUAACCUAAGAGACCUGGCUUCAAAAGGGUCAAGUAAUAGAGAACUAGUAUCACUUCAUUAGGGAGCACAGGGCCCAAGAGCAAGAAUCCUUUGGGAUCAGAUCUUCAAAGAAGCAGACUAACAGGCCACUUAAAAGCAUCCAUAGCCAUCUUCCCAUCAGAAGUUCUGCUGGAGAUGUUCCAGACGCAAGUGGUGUUGACUGAUCAGCAAAGGCACAGUUUCUACCCUGAGGAGCCUGGCAAUCUAAGGCCCCAAUUCUGCAAAGAUUUACACCAAUAUUUCAUAGGACUUUUCACAAGCACAAAGUUAAGGAGAUGG